AAUCUUGAAGGGAUGGAGAUGGGUUAUUCGUGGUGGUGGUUUUUAAGGACCUAGUAAUCAUAUAAGCAAGAACUUCACGGUCUUCAAGUGAAAGAACAGAAGCUAGAGCAAGAAUGGCAGCAGGUAAAAGCUUUAACACAGAAAGAACAUCUCUAUCUCCAUUAUCACCAACAGACGAAGAAGAAGAUGAUGGAGAAGGAUAAACUUUACCUUUGUUCUUUAUCUUCAUUUUUCUUUUCUUGGUCUCUUUUGGAAUUUGGUUUGAUUUUUUUUCUCUCUUUCUAGGUGGAGUGACUGGUGGGCAUAGGUGAAUUUUUUUUUUUCUGGUGAUAUUUGGUGAGGAGAGAGAGAGAGUAGGGUUUGUGUUGUUUUGACUUGAAAACCAAGGAAGAGAAAGGUACUGCGUGAG
rnacentral:lncRNA from 1 species